AGCUGAGAUUGCUCAGAAGGCUUCUCCAUUAGCUUGGCUGCAUAAAGUUUUGAAGCCCUUGGAGUCUCCUGCAGAUGUGUCUGCAGGGAGGACUUUUCCUGUUCCUUUGCUGAUUCGUACACAGAAGCCUGUCUCCCAUGGCAGGGGUGAGUAGUGUGCUCCUGCUGACCCCACAGGCUGAGCCCUGCUUUUGUGGGAUCCAUUCCUGGGAAACGGAACUACUUUCUCUUAAGGUCCUCUCAGGGGGAAGAGCAAAGGCAAAAAACAGAAGAAACCCCACGAGCCAAACAACAUCCUGAAACACAUCGUGACAGAACUGCACAAAGGCCAUGGGAUGGACAGAGAGGCUCUGUGGAAGGUGGCAUUUCCUGAAGGAAGGGAAGAGAUGCCAGGCACAGUCCCAGAAGGUAA